GCCAGACUCCUACGGGAGGCAGCAGUGAGGAAUAUUGGUCAAUGGGCGGGAGCCUGAACCAGCCAAGUCGCGUGAGGGACGACGGUCCUAUGGAUUGUAAACCUCUUUUGUCGGGGAACAAAGGCGCCCGCGGGUGGGCGGAUGAGUGUACCCGAAGAAAAAGCAUCGGCUAACUCCGUGCCAGCAGCCGCGGUAAUACGUAGGGGGCAAGCGUUAUCCGGAUUUACUGGGUGUAAAGGGAGUGUAGGUGGCAUAACAAGUCAGAAGUGAAAGCCCGGGGCUCAACCGCGGGACUGCUUUUGAAACUGUUAAGCUUGAGUGCAGGAGAGGUAAGCGGAAUUCCUAGUGUAGCGGUGAAAUGCGUAGAUAUUAGGAGGAACACCAGUGGCGAAGGCGGCUUACUGGACUGUAACUGACACUGAGGCUCGAAAGCGUGGGGAGCAAACAGGAUUAGAUACCCCAGUAC
rnacentral:rRNA from 1 species